rnacentral:rRNA from 1 species
CGACGCUGGCGGCGUGCCUAAUACAUGCAAGUAGAACGCUGAAGAGAGGAGCUUGCUCUUCUUGGAUGAGUUGCGAACGGGUGAGUAACGCGUAGGUAACCUGCCUUGUAGCGGGGGAUAACUAUUGGAAACGAUAGCUAAUACCGCAUAACAAUGGAUGACACAUGUCAUUUAUUUGAAAGGGGCAAUUGCUCCACUACAAGAUGGACCUGCGUUGUAUUAGCUAGUAGGUGAGGUAAUGGCUCACCUAGGCGACGAUACAUAGCCGACCUGAGAGGGUGAUCGGCCACACUGGGACUGAGACACGGCCCAGACUCCUACGGGAGGCAGCAGUAGGGAAUCUUCGGCAAUGGGGGCAACCCUGACCGAGCAACGCCGCGUGAGUGAAGAAGGUUUUCGGAUCGUAAAGCUCUGUUGUAAGUCAAGAACGGGUGUGAGAGUGGAAAGUUCACACUGUGACGGUAGCUUACCAGAAAGGGACGGCUAACUACGUGCCAGCAGCCGCGGUAAUACGUAGGUCCCGAGCGUUGUCCGGAUUUAUUGGGCGUAAAGCGAGCGCAGGCGGUUUGAUAAGUCUGAAGUUAAAGGCUGUGGCUCAACCAUAGUUCGCUUUGGAAACUGUCAAACUUGAGUGCAGAAGGGGAGAGUGGAAUUCCAUGUGUAGCGGUGAAAUGCGUAGAUAUAUGGAGGAACACCGGUGGCGAAAGCGGCUCUCUGGUCUGUAACUGACGCUGAGGCUCGAAAGCGUGGGGAGCGAACAGGAUUAGAUACCCUGGUAGUCCACGCCGUAAACGAUGAGUGCUAGGUGUUGGAUCCUUUCCGGGAUUCAGUGCCGCAGCUAACGCAUUAAGCACUCCGCCUGGGGAGUACGACCGCAAGGUUGAAACUCAAAGGAAUUGACGGGGGCCCGCACAAGCGGUGGAGCAUGUGGUUUAAUUCGAAGCAACGCGAAGAACCUUACCAGGUCUUGACAUCCCGAUGCUAUUUCUAGAGAUAGAAAGUUACUUCGGUACAUCGGUGACAGGUGGUGCAUGGUUGUCGUCAGCUCGUGUCGUGAGAUGUUGGGUUAAGUCCCGCAACGAGCGCAACCCCUAUUGUUAGUUGCCAUCAUUCAGUUGGGCACUCUAGCGAGACUGCCGGUAAUAAACCGGAGGAAGGUGGGGAUGACGUCAAAUCAUCAUGCCCCUUAUGACCUGGGCUACACACGUGCUACAAUGGUUGGUACAACGAGUUGCGAGUCGGUGACGGCGAGCUAAUCUCUUAAAGCCAAUCUCAGUUCGGAUUGUAGGCUGCAACUCGCCUACAUGAAGUCGGAAUCGCUAGUAAUCGCGGAUCAGCACGCCGC